rnacentral:pre_miRNA from 1 species
CUACUACUCCCUCCGUUCGGAAUUACUUGUCUCGAAAAUGGAUGUAUCUAGAACUAAAAUACGUCUAGAUACAUCCAUUUCUGUGACAAGUAGUUCCGAACGGAGGGAGUACCAA